rnacentral:lncRNA from 1 species
UCUUAUUUGAGAUUCUAGAUGAAAAUAAGGAACGAUUGGAACAUGGGGGUUGAUCCCUGUACCUCCACAUUUUUGGCUUUCCAUCUCCCCAUUUUUUUUUUAUUUUUUUAAAUUUUUUUAUAUUACAAAUAUAACUUUUUUGUACUCUAUAAUUUACUUUUUUAACCCUCUUUUAUUUACUUAACCCUAGAUUUACUUUUCCAUUUUCAAUUUCACUCACUCUCUUACGGUAACACAACACCUCCACUCCCAUUUUCAAUUUCACUCCUCCCUCAGGCUAACACAACACCCCCACCCGUUUCCCUUCACUCUAAUUUUCAUUGUUUAAACUCUGAAUCCCAACUCCAGUCCUCUAUUCAUCUGUGCAUUUCGUGGUGGUGCGGCCUGGGUGUGCGGCGGUGCAGCGACAAUGGUGCUUCAUUUCUGGCGGUUGGUCUUCGAGAGGUUAGUUUUUGGUCUCUUUUUUCGCUUGAUAGAGAAGCUUUUGUUCGGUUUCUUCUUCGCGCAUGUAUGUUGUUGGUUUCUGC